GUCUGAACAACAGCGUCAGUUGGACGGCAGCAGUCGAACCGUUCACAUCGUAGGUAUCCCUCUCUCUAUGAUUGGUUGAGUUUCGUGAAUUUCGUAGACUUGAAAAUUAAUUGAAACUUUGCGUGCAAAAGAAAAAACGCUGUUGCAUUUUCUUUGUCGUCUGCUGUUGAAUGUGCCAGUGAAUUUGGUGUCUUCUGUUUGUUUUCUGUUGAAAUUAUUAUACGUCCUAAUUUCAAGUGAUUUUGAAUCUGACAAUGUGAAAAAAUAGAAUUGCGGCUGCCAUGCACAGAGAAAAGGGAAAGAUUACACACACACACACAAAAAGAGUUGAAACAGCUGAAAGAGAUUUGAAGCUUGUCCUAGUUUGCCCUGACUCUUAAUCAACGAAAAGUGAUUGAAUGACUGAUUCCAGAACAAGAAGUGAGAAAGACUUGGUCAAGUGUUAACCUACUUUAGCUCUUUUUUUUUCACUCCCAAUCGCCAUUGAAAAGAUAAUCAAUCAAUUACAAAGAAAAAACGAAAGUUUUCCCGCACUUUAUGCAGCGAUUUCGAUUCGACUGCUAUCGCCUUUGUUCCACGUGUUCUUGGUCGUGUCGCGAUUAUUGCCAAAUCGGUUCGAUUCGCUUUUAUCGAUACAUCGGAUUAAGUUCGGUGUCGAACCUCGUGCUGGCCUUUUUUUUUCGCAGUCCAGUUUGCUGACCGGUUGACCGUCACACCCAUCGCACGAUUACAUGGUUUCAUUUUCACGUCUUUUUACCAAAAAAAGACUGGACCCAACAAUUGGAGCAACCCUAUUUGAUUAUCGAUAACGAGUUGAACUUGCAGCGUGGCGGGGUAUGCCGAAAAGUCGCGACGAAUUGACGAGAGAGAGAGACCAGAAGAGAUUGAGGAAUUUCCGAGAGCAACGCGCUAAAGGAGGAGAGAGCCCAAGGCAGCUGAUCGAACGGGAACACUCUGGCCAUUUCGAGACUGACGCUUGAACGUCGGUAGCCGUCGGACGCGAGUAAUGGAGUGCUCCGCACGAAGACCUUUUCGUGAAUUGGCAGUGGGCGGCGUGACGAUGUUUGCCCUUGCCGUAAUGAUGGCCGCCUUCGGCCCAGCAGCCGCCCUCGAUACAAGUCAAUGCGUCGGUGCCCUGGGCAUGGAAUCGGGAGCCAUUCGUGACGAGGACAUAGCCGCCAGCUCUUCGUUCGACGGUGCCAGCGUCGGGCCACACAAUGCCAGAGUGCGUGUCGAGAGAAAUGGAGGAGCGUGGUGCCCUCGCCAACAGGCCACUCAUCAGCCUCGUGACUGGCUCGAGAUCGAUUUGAAGACGGACCACGUCAUCACGGCCGUCGAGACCCAAGGGCGAUUCGGCAACGGCCAAGGGCAGGAAUUUGCGGAGCACUUUCUGCUUGAAUACUGGAGGGAAUCGCUGGCCAAAUGGGUCCGUUACAAGGACACCAAAAGCGAAGAGGUAAUCGCAGGAAAUACAAACACGUACGUGGCGGAGAAGCGUGAAUUGGAUCCGGUGUUGAUCGCCCGCAAGUUGCGAUUUUUCCCGUACAGUCACCACAGGCGAACGGUUUGCAUGCGAGUCGAGAUUUAUGGCUGCCCUUGGUCUGAGGGUAUUGCCAGCUAUCUGAUGCCGCAGGGAGAUCAGCGAGGAGCCGGUUGGCAAUUCUACGAUGCCUCUUACGACGGCAUCUGGGACGGCUCUUUACUGCGCCAGGGACUCGGCCAGUUGACAGACGGCAAACUCGGUCCCGACAAUUUCAAAGCCAGUUACUACGACCAAGAUCGAGGUUGGGUCGGAUGGCGUAACGACUCGCGCAACGGACAGCCCGUCGAGAUCGUUUUCGAGUUCGAUACGGUGCGCGAUUUCACGUCGCUGAGUAUCUUCGCCAAUAACCAGUUCACCAAAGAUGUUCAGAUCUUCUCUGAGAUGCAAGUGCAUUUCAGCGUCGGAGGACAAGUGUACCCGGGUGAGCCAAUCAUCUACCGACCUCCCGAGGAUCGCAUAUUUGAGAAUUCACGCAACAUCAGUAUUAAGCUGCACCACCGAGUCGGACGCUACGUCAAACUGCGUUUGUCUUUCCCGGCUCCUCCGGCUCGCUGGAUUCUCAUCAGCGAAGUCUCUUUCCGCUCCGAAGUGGCCGCCAGAAAUUACACGACCGAAGUGGAUGGCAGUCCCGUCACUCCACCGGCCGCCCCACCCAAUCCGCCCGUCUCCAAUUUGCCACUCCCGCCAACCGGUCACGAAGUCGGGAUCAACGCCGGCUCGUCGGAUCAAACCAACGAAACGAGCCCACCAACCAGAGAGAACCAAACGUACAUGGCAAUCAUCGUCGGUGUCUUGGUGGCCGUCAGUUUCCUGUUGGCGGCGGCCAUCUUCUUCAUGAUAAUGCGACGUCGUCAACGCAAGAGCCUCUCCGGCAGUCCGCUGCCGGACAAGGCAAAUUGGGCCUCUCAGGUGGGAAGUCAGCCCAGUCCCCGUCUGUUGGACGGGUCUGUCGGUGAGCAUCACGAGGAUCAAUUGUUGCAACACCAUCGCGGUAAAAUCUACAACAAGAACAACUCGCUGCCGUAUGGCAACAUUGGCGCCGACUUGUCGCGCUCGGACGCGGCCUCCCAGUACUUGCUGCCUCACUCGCCGGCCAGUGCCCACUUGACGAGAACCGAGUACCAGGAGCCUUAUCACGCCCUUCGCUUCUCGCCUUAUUACAGCUACAGCACUCUAUUGCUGGCCGGAACUGAAGGUGCACUGAAAAAGGCCAACACAUCCGCAGAUACGUACGACUACGCCGUGCCGGAUGUUAGCGGGAUUAGCAGCUGCAGCACUGCCCAUCAACCCCUACUAAUCCAGCCAUCUCUACAAAAACAACAUCAUCCGCUUAAGCCCAAAUUGCCUGUCGCUUCGCCACCUCCGCACGCAAUCGAAAUCGACACUUUGGCCUCAUCUUCUCAUUCCACGACGACCACUGGCUCGGCAUCCUCAGCAUCCGUCCGUCUAGGAGGCAGCAAGAACAACAAUCAGAUGGGCCACUUGAACGGCAUUAGCGAAUCCAGUCCAUUGAAAAAGCCCGCCGACCGAGCAGAAUUAUUGUCCGCACUGAAAUCACGGGCCGAAUCGCUGAUCAUACCGGAAUUACCACGCAGCAAAUUGCAUAUGGUCCAACGCAUCGCCAGUGGGGCGUUUGGUACCGUCUAUAAGGCCGAAGCCGAACACGUUCCCGAAUACGGAAGUGCCGUCUACACUUCACGGCGACUUGUGGCCGCCAAAUAUCUUCCCAACACGUCAGACAAAGACAAGUCGGGAUUCUACCAGGAAGUGAGGCUAUUGGCAGCUCUGGACGAUCCGCACUUGUCGCGUGUUUUGGCCGUUUGCACGACGGAAGAGCCCUUUUGCGUCGUUUUAGAAUAUCUGGAAUUCGGUGAUCUGAACCAAUUUCUCAAACUGCAUCGAUUCAGACCGGAUAACCACCACAACUCGUCCGACAGCCGCAACAACAUAUCAAAAACGUUCUCUACUCCGGACGAAACGUUAACGAUGGGAAGUUUGAUAUUUAUGGCCAGUCAGAUCGCCUCGGGAAUGCGUUACCUUGAGUCUCUAAAUUUCGUUCACCGCGAUUUGGCCGCCAGGAACUGUUUGGUUGGCAAAGGACUUCAAGUCAAAAUCUGCGAUUUCGGUACAGACAGCGACAUAUACGGAUUGGAUUAUUAUCGCGCGGAGGAUCAAGUAAUCGGCUUACCAGUUCGCUGGAUGGCAUGGGAAUCCGUAAUACAGGGGAAAUAUACGACCAAGAGUGACGUGUGGGCAUUUGCAGUGACGCUGUGGGAAAUAUUGGUCCUUGGCCGGCAGCGUCCUUACCAAGAGCUUAGCGACGAUGCAGUUGUGGAUAAUUUGCAGCAUUUUGCGCAAGGAAAUCUCACCAGUGCACCUCCGUCUGUUUCGCUGUCGAGACCGCAGCACUGCCCUCGCGAUAUUUACGACUUGAUGUGCGAAUGCUGGCGGCGUCUACCCACCGAACGUCCCUCCUUCCGUGAAAUCCACCUUUUCCUACAACGGAAAAAUCUCGGCUAUUCACCCAAUGCAUAGUAACUCCUCUCGUUUAGCAAUUCGCGUAUGCUGGAGCUAACGAGUGCUGGUACAGUUCCGUCGUUCGUCUAAUCUAUAUAUUGCUAUUAUGUUCACUUCUUGCAUAUCAACAGCGUCACAAAUCUUCGUGAAAAAUGUAACGGUUGCUUCUGCUGUGAUAUGCUCCAAUUCUGACUCGACCAUUGACUAUAUUAUAAUUUAAUUUUUAUACGGAUGCAUGCGAACCACUUACUGUUUAGCUAGCUAUUUCAUUUUGAUUUGUUUUAAUCAGCUAGUCAAUUUGUCGCUUCAUUUCUGUUGGUUCCGUUAUCAUAUAAGGUAUCUUACAGUCUGGAAAAAUGGGGUAAGUGUGGUUCUUAUUUCUAGGGUGCAACGAGCACCAACUGGUAUUUAAUAUACAGUAUAUAUAUAUAAAUAUAUAUCUUUAAACGUGAUCGAUUGUUUCAACUUUCGAGUUUACUUAAUUCGUACUAUAACAUCGUUUGUCGUCGCAAUUCAUUUGUAUACAUAUCUUUCUUUCGAGCAUCCCAACUGCUGCACUACUGUAGUGUUAAUAAAUUGGUACUACCCAUUUCAAGCCCAUUUGCUUCUUUUUCUUUAAUUUCUUGAUAUCCGAAGUUUUCUUUGGAAGACAAGCCUACUGAGCAUACGUUAACAUUAAUUACCUUAACAGGAUUUCCCAAAGGUACGGAUUUAUAGGAGCAUUUGAGAACCAAGAGAUCUUGAGCUGGCUAUAAAAAAGCGGCUCAAUAGGCGUUACUCUUACUUUUUCAGUAUUUGAAUUCGGUUGAAAUCAAGAACCAAUUCCGCUCUCUGUUGUUGUGCCCAUGACUUACCUGGGUUUCACAUGGGUAAUUAAAUGUAGAAACCCGUUCUACUAACCGGUUUUUACCGCUUUUUAUCCAGAUUAGACUGACACUCUGUCACUAUGACAGAAUUCGAACCUAAAAAGAAGAAUAAAAAUUUCUGGCAACAGUGCCAACCGUCAAACUCAAAGAAAUUUUUCCCUUGCCACUUUGCGAGUCGCGACAUUUUGUCAUUUACCGCCAUAGUUUUGUACGGAUUAGGUUGCGUACUGAAUCCGAAGUAAGAAGUAUUUAACUUCAACAUUUGUAGGCCAUAAGUGUUACUUUCUGCAAUCUGCAGUGUGACGGUAAGCACUGGAUCAAAUUUUGCCAGCUUUAUUUCACAAUGUGCCUAAAAAAAUUCAAACAAAGAAUGUGAAAAUCUUGUGUGGGUCAGGUGAUCAUCAAUAGCUAGUCUCCGUUGUUAUGAUACUUGUUUUGGAAAGACAUCAGUGGUGGGCAUUUAUUGUUUUGGUGUACAUCCAGCAUUUAUGUUAAAUAAGGAAGCAGAAUAUGUCAGAAGUUGACUUCUAAGUUUCCUCAUAAAAUUGUAUGUAGGAGCUGUUUAAACAUACACUUCAUUGUGGAGGUCCUUUAUGUUAUUGCUUGGCAAUAUCAUCUCCCCAUUCCAUCAGCUUAGCAAACAAGCUGCAAAUGAAAAAAUUUUUGUUUUAACAACCAGCUAAGUUCCAGAAUUUAUUUUAGUUAAUUUUUAGAGAAUCCAAAAGAAAAGUUUCUAUAUUUAGUGCUUCAAAAACACGAUCUGAAAAUUUUGGUUUUGUGUGAAAGGAAACUUGGACGAAAACGUGCAUAGGUACUUAGGUAGCCUCAGUAAUGCCAUCGAAAAGGAAAUGCAUUUAUUUUGUGAAGUCAUGGCAAGCCGCUAACAGAUUGUUUUACGUGAUGCUGAUUUCAGAUUAUGAAUGAAUGAACUCAAGACAUCUAGGGGAGAAAUAACUAACUCCGCAGAUUUUUUAUGCAUAUGUCAGCUGGUUCCAUUUCGCGUGGCUUCGGACUGAGGAUGCAUGCUGAAACGAACUUCUCUUCUCAAAAUUUUACCACCGAUUCCGUGUAUUUUGAGCUGCACCUUGUGAAUUCAAUUAAUGCAGAGUUGUUCAAGGUAUUUGGGAUCUACCUGAUGUACUGUGGUGGCCGCAAAAUCAUUGAGUGACAUGGUUCAAUCCAGGACUUGGUUUCUUCUAUAGUGCUCUACAGUUUUAAUUUGCAGAGAUCCUGAAGGCACCUGAUGUGUUGCAUUGGUGUUGGAGUCACUUGGUGACAGAAGAAAAUGCCACUAAUGUUAUGUUGUCAGUGUAAAUAAAACAUAUCCCGUAUCA